rnacentral:rRNA from 1 species
GAUGAACGCUGGCGGCGUGCCUAACACAUGCAAGUCGAACGGAGAUUACGGACGGAAGUUUUCGGAUGGAAGCCUGUAAUUCUUAGUGGCGGACGGGUGAGUAACGCGUGGGCAACCUGCCCUAUACAGGGGGAUAGCAGCUGGAAACGGCUGGUAAGACCGCAUAAGUCGGUUAAAUCGCAUGAUUUGAUCGGGAAAUGAGCAAUCAGGUAUAGGAUGGGCCCGCGUCCGAUUAGCCAGUUGGCAGGGUAAAAGCCUACCAAAGCGACGAUCGGUAGCCGGACUGAGAGGUCGGACGGCCACAUUGGGACUGAGACACGGCCCAAACUCCUACGGGAGGCAGCAGUGGGGGAUAUUGCACAAUGGAGGAAACUCUGAUGCAGCGACGCCGCGUGAGUGAAGAAGUAUUUCGGUAUGUAAAGCUCUAUCAGCAGGGAAG